rnacentral:snRNA from 1 species
AACAAGUACCGCGAGGUA